UACGUAGGUGACCAGCGUUGUCCGGAUUUACUGGGCGUAAAGAGCGCGCAGGCGGUUAAUUAAGUCGAAUGUGAAAGCCCCCGGCUCAACUGGGGAGGGUCAUUCGAUACUGAUUGACUUGAAGGCAGGAGAGGGUAGUGGAAUUCCCGGUGUAGUGGUGAAAUGCGUAGAUAUCGGGAGGAACACCAGUGGCGAAGGCGACUACCUGGCCUGUUCUUGACGCUGAGGCGCGAAAGCUGGGGGAGCAAACGGG
rnacentral:rRNA from 1 species